GACGAACGCUGGCGGCGUGCUUAACACAUGCAAGUCGAACGGAAAGGCCUCAGCUUGCUGGGGUACUCGAGUGGCGAACGGGUGAGUAACACGUGGGUGAUCUGCCUUGCACUCUGGGAUAAGCUUGGGAAACUGGGUCUAAUACCGGAUAUGAACUGCCUUUAGUGUGGUGGUUGGAAAGUUUUUUCGGUGCAAGAUGAGCUCGCGGCCUAUCAGCUUGUUGGUGGGGUAAUGGCCUACCAAGGCGUCGACGGGUAGCCGGCCUGAGAGGGUGUACGGCCACAUUGGGACUGAGAUACGGCCCAGACUCCUACGGGAGGCAGCAGUGGGGAAUAUUGCACAGUGGGCGGAAGCCUGAUGCAGCGACGCCGCGUGGGGGAUGACGGCCUUCGGGUUGUAAACUCCUUUCGACAGGGACGAAGCUUUUUGUGACGGUACCUGUAUAAGAAGCACCGGCUAACUACGUG
rnacentral:rRNA from 1 species